rnacentral:rRNA from 1 species
GACGAACGCUGGCGGCGUGCUUAACACAUGCAAGUCGAACGGAAAGGCCCUGCUUUUGUGGGGUGCUCGAGUGGCGAACGGGUGAGUAACACGUGAGUAACCUGCCCUUGACUUUGGGAUAACUUCAGGAAACUGGGGCUAAUACCGGAUAGGAGCUCCUGCUGCAUGGUGGGGGUUGGAAAGUUUCGGCGGUUGGGGAUGGACUCGCGGCUUAUCAGCUUGUUGGUGGGGUAGUGGCUUACCAAGGCUUUGACGGGUAGCCGGCCUGAGAGGGUGACCGGCCACAUUGGGACUGAGAUACGGCCCAGACUCCUACGGGAGGCAGCAGUGGGGAAUAUUGCACAAUGGGCGGAAGCCUGAUGCAGCAACGCCGCGUGCGGGAUGACGGCCUUCGGGUUGUAAACCGCUUUCGCCUGUGACGAAGCGUGAGUGACGGUAAUGGGUAAAGAAGCACCGGCUAACUACGUGCCAGCAGCCGCGGUGAUACGUAGGGUGCGAGCGUUGUCCGGAUUUAUUGGGCGUAAAGGGCUCGUAGGUGGUUGAUCGCGUCGGAAGUGUAAUCUUGGGGCUUAACCCUGAGCGUGCUUUCGAUACGGGUUGACUUGAGGAAGGUAGGGGAGAAUGGAAUUCCUGGUGGAGCGGUGGAAUGCGCAGAUAUCAGAAGGAACACCAGUGGCGAAGGCGGUUCUCUGGGCCUUUCCUGACGCUGAGGAGCGAAAGCGUGGGGAGCGAACAGGCUUAGAUACCCUGGUAGUCCACGCUGUAAACGGUGGGUACUAGGUGUGGGGUCCAUUCCACGGGUUCCGUGCCGUAGCUAACGCUUUAAGUACCCCGCCUGGGGAGUACGGCCGCAAGGCUAAAACUCAAAGGAAUUGACGGGGCCCCGCACAAGCGGCGGAGCAUGCGGAUUAAUUCGAUGCAACGCGUAGAACCUUACCUGGGUUUGACAUGGAUCGGGAGUGCCCAGAGAUGGGUGUGCCUCUUUUGGGGUCGGUUCACAGGUGGUGCAUGGCUGUCGUCAGCUCGUGUCGUGAGAUGUUGGGUUAAGUCCCGCAACGAGCGCAACCCUUGUUCACUGUUGCCAGCACGUUAUGGUGGGGACUCAGUGGAGACCGCCGGGGUCAACUCGGAGGAAGGUGGGGAUGACGUCAAGUCAUCAUGCCCCUUAUGUCCAGGGCUUCACGCAUGCUACAAUGGCUGGUACAGAGAGUGGCGAGCCUGUGAGGGUGAGCGAAUCUCGGAAAGCCGGUCUCAGUUCGGAUUGGGGUCUGCAACUCGACCUCAUGAAGUCGGAGUCGCUAGUAAUCGCAGAUCAGCAACGCUGCGGUGAAUACGUUCCCGGG